rnacentral:rRNA from 1 species
GACGAACGCUGGCGGCGUGCUUAACACAUGCAAGUCGAACGGAAAGGCCCUGCUUUUGUGGGGUGCUCGAGUGGCGAACGGGUGCGUAACACGUGAGUAACCUGCCCUUGACUUUGGGAUAACUUCAGGAAACUGGGGCUAAUACCGGAUAGGAGCUCCUGCUGCCUUGUGGUGGUUGGAAAAUUUCGGGGGGUGGGGAUGGACUCGCGGCUUAUCUGCUUGUUUGUCGGGUAGUGGCUUACCAAGGGUUUGACGGGUAGCCGGCCUGAGAGGGUGACCGGCGACACUGGGACUGAGAUACGGCCCAGAAUCAUACGGGAGGCAGCAGUGGGGAAUAUUGCACAAUGGGCGGAAGCCUGAUGCAGUAACGCCGCGUGCGGGAUGACGGCCUUCGGGUUGUAAACCGCUUUCGCCUGUGACGAAGCGUGAGUGACGGUAAUGGGUAAAGAAGCACCGGCUAACUACGUG